ACUUCAAUUUUCUUUUAUCUCU
rnacentral:miRNA from 10 species